GUGAAUUACUAGAGGCCAUAAA
rnacentral:miRNA from 1 species